AUUUUCUCUCGAAAAAACGAACUGUCAACACGGCAUGGAACUGGGAUAUUCGUAUCAAAGGGCUCUGAAUGCAGGAAAAUGACUGAAUAUUACUUAGUCAACAACACUGGGUUAUGAAGAAUUCCAGCCUGCAUUAAAUACUAUGUUGGAUCCUUGAGAGCGGAUUUGACAGCCAUGUCCAUCCACAAGGCAGUCGCAUCUGAUCGAGAUGAUCACUAAACAUUCUUGAUGGGUAAAGUACCUGAAGGGGCAUGAAAACCAAAUCAGCAUUGACUCAGCAUUGAGUAGUUAUCAUCUGUGCACACACUUCAAGUACAAAGCAUGGGAA